rnacentral:rRNA from 1 species
UACAGAGGUCUCAAGCGUUGUUCGGAUUCAUUGGGCGUAAAGGGUGCGUAGGCGGCGCGGUAAGUCGGGUGUGAAAUCUCGGGGCUUAACUCCGAAACUGCAUUCGAUACUGCCGUGCUUUGAGGACUGGAGAGGAGACUGGAAUUUACGGUGUAGCGGUGAAAUGCGUAGAUAUCGUAAGGGAAGACCAGUGGCGAAGGCGGGUCUCUGGACAGUUCCUGACGCUGAGGCACGAAGGCCAGGGGAGCAAACGGG